rnacentral:rRNA from 1 species
CCUACGGGUGGCAGCAGUGAGGAAUAUUGGUCAAUGGACGCGAGUCUGAACCAGCCAAGUCGCGUGCAGGAUGACUGCCCUAUGGGUUGUAAACUUCUUUUAUAAAGGAAUAAAGUGCGGCACGUGUGCCUUUUUGUAUGUACUUUAUGAAUAAGGAUCGGCUAACUCCGUGCCAGCAGCCGCGGUAAUACGGAGGAUCCGAGCGUUAUCCGGAUUUAUUGGGUUUAAAGGGAGCGUAGAUGGGUUGUUAAGUCAGUUGUGAAAGUUCGCGGCUCAACCGCGAAAUUGCAAUUGAUACUGGCAGGCUUGAGUACAGUUGAGGUAGGCGGAAUGUGUGGUGUAGCGGUGAAAUGCUUAGAUAUCACGCAGAACACCGAUUGCGAAGGCAGCUUACUAAACUGCGACUGACAUUGAGGCACGAAAGUGUGGGUAUCAAACAGGAUUAGAUACCCUAGUAGUC